rnacentral:lncRNA from 1 species
AUUUAACUCAAUGUACGGAUUUUGUGAAGUGUUGUUUACCAUUAUUAUGUAUUAUUUAUCUAGCAGCACCCCUGGAAUGAAUUAACUUACACUCUGCUUCAGCUUGUACCACCAGAGCUUAUAGUCCAAGCGGGAACAUGCAAGCCCUCUUUCAUUCAGGAAAAACGUAUCUCAGGAAGGAUUUGCUGAGGAACUUGCUUUCAAUUAACUGCAUGACCAGACAAGAUCAAAGGAAAUUAGCUGGGACAGGAGGGAGACAAACAGACAGAAUGUCUGACUGAAUCCACGAUUCAGAGAAAAAUUAUAAACUGUAAGAGAAAGAUUGAGGACAUCUCUGAAG